CGCCCCGGCCCAGGCUGCCGGACACGGAGCUGGGACUCCUGUGCCGCAGCCCCGAGUCUGCAUCCUCGGCCCGUGACAGCGCAAAGCAUCUCGGCCCACACCCGCGAGGGGGCACCUCAAGGUUGCCAGCAUGAUGGCGGAGAGAGCACUAGACGCCGUGGGCUGUGGACUAGGACCGGGGGCUGUGGCCAUGGCCGUGGCGCUGGAGGACGGAGGGGAGCCCCCUGUGCUGACCACACACCUGAAGAAAGUGGAGAACCACAUCACUGAAGCCCAGCGCUUCUCCCACCUACCUAAGCGCUCAGCCGUCGACAUUGAAUUCGUGGAGCUGUCCUAUUCCGUGCGGGAGGGGCCCUGCUGGCGAAAACGCGGUUAUAAGACCCUCCUCAAGUGCCUAUCAGGUAAAUUCUGCCGCCGGGAGCUAAUUGGCAUCAUGGGCCCCUCAGGGGCUGGCAAGUCCACAUUCAUGAACAUCUUGGCAGGAUACAGGGAGUGUGGAAUGAAGGGACAGAUCCUGGUAAAUGGGAAGUCGCGGGAACUGAGGACGUUCCGCAAAAUGUCCUGUUACAUCAUGCAGGAUGACAUGCUGCUGCCACAUCUCACAGUGCUGGAAGCUAUGAUGGUCUCUGCAAACCUGAAGCUGAGUGAGAAGCAAGAGGUGAAGAAGGAGCUGGUGACCGAAAUCCUGACAGCAUUGGGCCUGAUGUCCUGCUCCCACACGAGGACAGCCCUGCUCUCCGGCGGGCAGAGGAAGCGCCUGGCCAUCGCCCUGGAGCUGGUCAACAACCCGCCUGUCAUGUUCUUUGAUGAGCCCACCAGUGGUCUGGACAGCGCCUCCUGUUUCCAAGUGGUGUCCCUCAUGAAGUCCCUGGCCCAGGGAGGCCGUACCAUCAUCUGCACCAUCCACCAGCCCAGUGCCAAGCUCUUUGAGAUGUUUGACAAGCUCUACAUCCUGAGCCAGGGUCAGUGCAUCUUCAAGGGUAUGGUCACCAAUCUGAUCCCCUAUUUGAAGGGCCUAGGCUUGCACUGCCCCACCUACCACAACCCAGCUGACUUCAUCAUUGAGGUGGCCUCUGGCGAGUAUGGAGACCUGAACCCCAUGCUGUUCAGGGCUGUGCAGAAUGGGCUGUGCACCAUGACUGAGAAGAAGAGCAGCCCUGAGAAGAAUGAGGUCCCUGCCCCCUGCCCCCCUUGCCCUCCGGAAGUGGAUCCCAUUGAAAGCCACACCUUUGCCACCAGUACCCUCACACAGUUCUGCAUCCUCUUCAAGAGGACCUUCUUGUCCAUCCUCAGGGACAUGGUUCUGACCCACCUGCGGUUCGUGUCCCAUGUGGUGAUUGGUGUGCUCAUUGGCCUCCUCUACCUGCACAUUGGCAAUGAUGCCAGCAAGGUCUUCAACAACACGGGCUGCCUCUUCUUCUCCAUGCUGUUCCUCAUGUUUGCUGCCCUUAUGCCAACUGUGCUUACCUUCCCCUUAGAGAUGGCAGUCUUUAUGAGGGAGCAUCUCAACUACUGGUAUAGCCUAAAAGCAUAUUACCUGGCCAAGACCAUGGCCGAUGUGCCCUUUCAGGUUGUGUGCCCAGUGGUGUACUGCAGCAUCGUAUACUGGAUGACAGGCCAGCCAGCCGAGACUAGCCGCUUCCUGCUCUUCUCAGCCCUGGCCACUGCCACAGCUUUGGUUGCCCAGUCUUUGGGGCUACUCAUUGGAGCUGCCUCCAACUCCCUGCAGGUGGCCACGUUUGUGGGCCCAGUUACUGCCAUUCCUGUCCUCUUGUUCUCCGGUUUCUUUGUCAGCUUCAAGACCAUCCCCACUUACUUGCAAUGGAGCUCCUACCUCUCCUAUGUCAGGUAUGGCUUUGAGGGCGUGAUUCUGACCAUCUAUGGCAUGGAACGAGGAGACCUGACUUGCUCCGAGGAGCACUGCCCUUUCCAGGAGCCACAGAGUAUACUCCAAGCUCUGGAUGUAGAGGGUGCCAAGCUCUACAUGGACUUCCUGGUCUUGGGCAUCUUCUUCCUGGCCCUGCGGUUGCUGGCAUACCUUGUGCUCCGGUACCGGGUCAAGUCGGAGAGAUAGAGCUUUGCCCUGGCCUGUGCCCUAGGCAUCGCAGCAGGAAGGCCCCAGCUCCAGCCCUUUGGGACUGUUUUAACCUCGUAGACUUAAGCACUAGUUGCUGGUGCAGCCACCCUCCCCUUUCUCAGCUCCUCCACAGAGUUACAGGCACUUACAUGUGAACAGGCAAUCUCAGCCCUCUAUACCCUUGCUGUCCCCAAUGGCUCAGAGGAAGAGUGAUGAUGGCAUGGUGGUGGUGGAUGCUGUGGGGAGGGCAGUGCCAACCUCCUCCUGGGGACCUCGCUUUGACUGUGAGGAUGAGACUGGUGCUGUCCAGGGCAUCUUCUGGAUCUGUAGGUGUCUACUCCCCAUCUUCCCUUUCUCCCAAGCCAGGGUGGCACAGGACAUUAGCUCCCUGAAGUUCAGGACCUAACACAAGCACAGGCAAGGGCAUAAGUUGGUCUUGGCCACUGCCACCUCAUGGCCCUUUUGUGUGUCAAGCUGGCAUUCUCUUUCCUCCACUCCUUCCCCAGCCAUUUGCUGCUCAUUCAAACUCCUGUCCAUGUCUCUUUACCCCCUUUCCCAUCAGCUAAGGUGGCCCCAGGGCAUGCCUUGGGUACCAGGAUGACAGACACACGAGGGGCAUGCCUGGCUUUCCCGGUGGGUCCAGGCUCAUUCUACUUUCAGUUCCCCUUACUUAGGGCUCUUU